rnacentral:tmRNA from 1 species
GGGGAUGAUAGGCUUCGCUAGGAAGUUUUAAUCUCCAAACUGCAUAUCAGGUUGGCAAUGAACCUGUAAAACGUUGCACUCCUUAACUGGAAAAUCAAUUGCUUCGCCUUAUGCGAAGACUGUAGCUUUCGCCUAACACACUUGGCGCUACUGCACCCUGCCCUGACGUUCAAUACGGAUAGUGGUGUAUCAUAACCCUUUGAACUAGGAUGUGAGAGCCUUCUCCUCUCUGGUCCGAAUUACAGAAGAAUCGAGUAGCUAUCGCUUUUGCUUAAUUUUUAGAUAGUAACUUUAAAUAAAUUAAACUAAGCUAUAUAUGUAGACGUUUGUUGGUUACCUUCUUACACGGCGGUUCAAGUCCGCCCAUCUCCACAA